rnacentral:lncRNA from 1 species
GGCUGCGAUCCGGGCGGAGACUAGAGAAUUGCGCCCAGGGGGUGCACCUGUACGUUUUUCUGAACAAAGCUCGCCAGGGGUAGGACCAACGUCUCUGGGUCAGCAGUCACUGGGCGCUUCCGGAAAUCCGCCGAGCGGGUGGGGCCAGUGCCCAUGGAGGCCAGAAGAAGACAGUGGAUCCUCUGAACCUGGAGUUAAAGGCCUGAUGAACGUGAGUAGCCUGAUGUGUUUGCUGGGAACUGAACUUGAGUCACCUGCAAGAGCAGUAUGUACUCUUAACUGCUGAGCCCUCUCUCCAGUCUCCUGAGAAGUGUUCUUACUUGUUUUUAAUCUGUCUUUCCUCCUUAUUUCUGAAGUACCCAUAAGUUGAAAACAUGUUGAAGAUUGCAGAGCAACACAUGAAGAGGAGUCUGGGCCUCUGCUACCAGAGAGUGCUGUUUCAACCCAGGAUCACUUCCUGUUAGGCUUCUGUGUGUUGAGAGAACAAAACCUCAUGAUCAUGAUGAGCUUUCUGCCAUAGACAGUGGACCAUUUUCUCAGAAUGCCACUUGUUAUACUUUGGAUGUGAUCUUGUCCCUGAACUCAUGUGUUCCAUACUUGGUUCCCAGAGUGGUGAGCUUGGUAGGUGGUAUGAACCCUUAAAGAGGUGGGGUCUAGCAGGAGGUGUUUAGAUCAGUAAG